CUACGGGGCGCACCAGUGAGGAAUUUUGCGCAAUGGGGGAAACCCUGACGCAGCAACGCCGCGUGAGCGAAGAAGGCCUUCGGGUCGUAAAGCUCUGUCAAGUGGGAAAAAAAUUCUUUGAUGAACAGUCAAAGGACUUGAUGGUACCACUGGAGGAAGCACCGGCUAACUCCGUGCCAGCAGCCGCGGUAAUACGGAGGGUGCAAGCGUUGUUCGGAAUUACUGGGCGUAAAGAGCGUGUAGGCGGUUUGACAAGUCAGAUGUGAAAGCCCCGGGCUCAACCCGGGAAGUGCAUUUGAACUGUUUCACUAGAGUAUGGGAGAGGAGAUUGGAAUUCCUGGUGUAGAGGUGAAAUUCGUAGAUAUCAGGAGGAACACCCGUGGCGAAGGCGAUUCUCUGGACCAAUACUGGCGCUGAGACGCGAAAGCGUGGGGAGCAAACAGGAUUAGAUACCCCUGUAGUC
rnacentral:rRNA from 1 species